GAGUGCAAGCGUAAUCGGAUUACUGGGCGUAAGCGCACGCAGCGUUGUAGUCAGAUGUGAAUCCCGGCUCAACCUGGGAACUGCAUCUGAUACUGGCAAGCUUGAGUCUCGUAGAGGGGGGUAGAAUCCAGGUGUAGCGGUGAAAUGCGUAGAGAUCUGGAGGAAUACCGGUGGCGAAGGCGGCCCCCUGGACGAAGACUGACGCUCAGGUGCGAAAGCGUGGGGAGCAAACAGGAUUAGAUACCUGGUAGUCCACGCCGUAAACGAUGUCGACUUGGAGGUUGUGCCCUUGAGGCGUGGCUUCCGGAGCUAACGCGUUAAGUCGACCGCCUGGGGAGUACGGCCGCAAGGUUAAAACUCAAAUGAAUUGACGGGGGCCCGCACAAGCGGUGGAGCAUGUGGUUUAAUUCGAUGCAACGCGAAGAACCUUACCUGGUCUUGACAUCCACRGAASUUUCCAGAGAUGRRWWKGUGCCUUCGGGAACYGUGAGACAGGUGCUGCAUGGCUGUCGUCAGCUCGUGUUGUGAAAUGUUGGGUUAAGUCCCGCAACGAGCGCAACCCUUAUCCUUUGUUGCCAGCGGUCCGGCCGGGAACUCAAAGGAGACUGCCAGUGAUAAACUGGAGGAAGGUGGGGAUGACGUCAAGUCAUCAUGGCCCUUACGACCAGGGCUACACACGUGCUACAAUGGCGCAUACAAAGAGAAGCGACCUCGCGAGAGCAAGCGGACCUCAUAAAGUGCGUCGUAGUCCGGAUUGGAGUCUGCAACUCGACUCCAUGAAGUCGGAAUCGCUAGUAAUCGUGGAUCAGAAUGCCACGGUGAAUACGUUCCCGGGCCUUGUACACACCGCCCGUCACACCAUGGGAGUGGGUUGCAAAAGAAGUAGGUAGCUUAACCUCGGAGGGCGCUACCACUUGAURG
rnacentral:rRNA from 1 species